UACGUAGGGUCCAAGCGUUGUCCGGAAUUAUUGGGCGUAAAGAGCUCGUAGGCGGUGUGUCGCGUCGGAUGUGAAAGCCCGGGGCUUAACCCCGGGUCUGCAUUCGGUACGGGCAUGCUGGAGUUCGGUAGGGAGACGUGGAAUUGCCUGGUGGUAGCGGUGGAAAUGCGCAGAUAUCAGGAGGAACACCGGUGGCGAAGGCGGGUCUCCGUGGGCCGAAGUGACUGACGC
rnacentral:rRNA from 1 species